rnacentral:misc_RNA from 1 species
AACGCACAUUGCGCCCGCCAGUAUUCUGGCGGGCAUGCCUGUCCGAGCGUCAUUUCCCCCCUCACGCGCCCCGUUGCGCGCUGGUGUUGGGGCCCCUCCGCCUGGCGGAGGGCCCCGAAAGCGAGUGGCGGGCCCGGCUGGCUGGCUCCGAGCGCAGUACCGAACGCAAGUUCUCCCCUCGCUCAGACGCCCCGCCGGCGCCCUGCCGUCAAAACGCGCAUGACGUGCAACUCUUUUACAAGGUUGACCUCGGAUCAGGUAGGACUACCCGCUGAACUUAA